GGCGAACGCUGGCGGCGUGCUUAACACAUGCAAGUCGAACGAUGAAGAAAAGAAUUGAAGCUUCGGCAGAAAUUCAUUUCGGAUUAGUGGCAGACGGGUGAGUAACGCGUGAGCAACCUACCUCUUACAAAGGGAUAGCCUCGGGAAACCGGGAUUAAUACCAUAUAACAUUGCGACGAAGCAUUUCGAUGCAAUCAAAGCUACGGCGGUAAGAGAUGGGCUCGCGUCCCAUUAACCAGAUGGUGAGGUAACGGCUCACCAUAGUAACGAUGGGUAACCGGCCUGAGAGGGUGAACGGUCACACUGGAACUGAGACACGGUCCAGACUCCUACGGGAGGCAGCAGUGGGGAAUAUUGCACAAUGGAGGGAACUCUGAUGCAGCGACGCCGCGUGAGUGAUGAAGGAAUUCGUUUCGUAAAACUCUGUUCUAUGGGAAGAAAAGGACUGUACCAUAGGAGAAAGCUCCGGCUAAAUACGUG
rnacentral:rRNA from 1 species